CCCCGCCCGCGCAGGCCGCGCCGCCAUGGCCGCGCUGCACGCCAAGGCCGGCGGGCCCCCGCAGAUCCCGGACACCCGCCGGGAGCUCGCCGAGCUGGUGAAACGCAAGCAGGAGCUGGCGGAGACGCUGGCAAACCUGGAACGGCAGAUCUACGCCUUCGAGGGCAGCUACCUGGAGGACACGCAGAUGUACGGCAACAUCAUCCGCGGCUGGGAUCGCUAUCUCACCAACCAGAAGAACUCCAACAGCAAAAACGACCGCAGGAACCGCAAGUUCAAGGAGGCCGAGAGGCUCUUCAGCAAGUCCUCGGUCACCUCAGCAGCGGCUGUCAGUGCAUUAGCUGGAGUGCAGGAUCAGCUCAUUGAGAAGCGGGAGCCAGGCAGUGGCACAGAGAGUGACACUUCUCCAGACUUCCACAACCAGGAAAAUGAGCCCAACCAGGAGGAUGCUGAAGAGCUGGAUGGCUCCGUGCAGGGUGUGAAGCCCCAGAAAGCUGCUUCCUCCACUUCCUCUGGGAGCCACCACAGCAGCCACAAAAAGAGAAAGAACAAAAACAGACACAGGUAUGUAUAUUAGGUUAGGCUGGGAAGUUUUUUUUAAAAACAGAAAAGCGUGAUGGAGGAUUGAUCUCAAGUUAAACAAAAAGCCAAGAGCCGACUACUAGAGCCAUCAGUGCUGAUGCUCCUGGGAUUUAGGUCUGUGACUCCCCACUGAGAAGCCCUGAAGCACGAUGGCAGCUGCAGUGACUCUCUCUAAGGGACUUGGAUGGGGGGAGGAAAUCCUGGACCAUGUACUUUGCAUCAUUUUAAAUCACCUGAGUUGCAGGAAGACGAAGGUGGUGUAGUAGUGGUAGUAGUUCUGAAUUCCUGACUGUUCUGUGCUUCCACCUUGGUUGGGAACUUGCUGAAAAGGCUGAUACUACUGCCCCCUGUCACCUGCAGACCCACAGAGAGGCAUUUCCUUUUCCACUGGAACUGGGGUAGGAUUCAGUGUGUCCCAUCCACGUUGUGAGACUUAAAUUACUUUUGUUGCUGAUAUUGAGCUUUGCAGGUUUGGUUUUUUUUGGUUUUGUUUUAUUUUGUUGGUUUUCUUGUGCCUUUUUUAAAGCUGAAGUGUAUAGUUACAAGUUGACUUUGGGUUUUUUUGUUUAGUCCGUGUAGUGGAAGGUUCUUCAUUUUGUGGAGCAGCUUUGAUUCUUACUCAAGCAGAGAAGAAGGCAGUUUAACCCUUUUCUCUCUCAUUUUAAACCCCAUCUCCCAAUAUUCCUCAGUGCAUUAGGUGCAGGAAGGGCCAGAGCUCAGAGCCAACUCUUCACUGUUGCUGACUUUGGGUGGGUUCUCUUUUUAAUACAAACCUCUGUCAUUUGUACAUAAACAAUAAAAGUUCCAUGUUUGUCUCUUCUCAUGGUUUAUUCAGUCCAAA